CGGCAGCAUGAUCUAGCUUGCUAGAUUGAUGGCGAGUGGCGAACGGGUGAGUAAUACAUCGGAACGUGCCCUGUAGUGGGGGAUAACUAGUCGAAAGAUUAGCUAAUACCGCAUACGACCUGAGGGUGAAAGUGGGGGACCGCAAGGCCUCAUGCUAUAGGAGCGGCCGAUGUCUGAUUAGCUAGUUGGUGGGGUAAAGGCCCACCAAGGCGACGAUCAGUAGCUGGUCUGAGAGGACGAUCAGCCACACUGGGACUGAGACACGGCCCAGACUCCUACGGGAGGCAGCAGUGGGGAAUUUUGGACAAUGGGCGAAAGCCUGAUCCAGCAAUGCCGCGUGUGUGAAGAAGGCCUUCGGGUUGUAAAGCACUUUUGUCCGGAAAGAAAUGGCUCUGGUUAAUACCUGGGGUCGAUGACGGUACCGGAAGAAUAAGGACCGGCUAACUACGUGCCAGCAGCCGCGGUAAUACGUAGGGUCCAAGCGUUAAUCGGAAUUACUGGGCGUAAAGCGUGCGCAGGCGGUUGUGCAAGACCGAUGUGAAAUCCCCGAGCUUAACUUGGGAAUUGCAUUGGUGACUGCACGGCUAGAGUGUGUCAG
rnacentral:rRNA from 1 species